UUUAUUUGUUCCACCAUCGCGAAGGUAGAGGUAUUGUUUUCAGUCGUGUUUGAUUGUGCAUGGACAAAGUAUCUCAAGAACCGUUGGAUGGAUUCAGAUGAAACUUUCAGGGAUGUUUGGCCUCAUGAUUGGCACAAAAUGAUUUGAUUUUGGAAUCGAUCCAGU